AAGGCAUGCUGAGACACUGUACCUGUCACACUAAUGGAUUAAUCAGGACCAGAUCUGGGAAUUCAAACUGCUUUUAUGCUUUGUUGGCAGAAGUGAGCGGCUGCACACGGAGGGAUUUUAGGGAAAGGAGCGUCGGGUGGGAAGGAUCGGAUUUCAGCAACCAAAGCUGGAGGACGUGCAAACUGUCCCAGGUCCCCUGAGGAGACAUCCAGUGAACAGAACGUGACCUGAGCGACGGCGCGGGGCCCCAAAGCCACCAAGGGGCCCCUGGAAGAAACAGUUACCGGUGAAGUCAAGGUUCCUGUGUUGAGUUUAUUU